GAUCAGUGGAUACACUUGUCUCCCUUUAAAGGAGACACUCUUAGAGAGAGACGAUCAGAGUCAUCCUUAAAUAUGGGCAGGAUAUCACUAUUGGACUGUCUAACCUGCAGGAGCAGCACUGAAUGACCACCACACAUGAUCAGUUCCUGCAACAUUCAGCAGCUCUGCUUUUGUGUCAGAUGUCCAACAGCUGGAGAGGAAACUACACCAGUGUACGGGAUGUUUCACCAACACGUGCCAGACGCUGUUCCUUCAUGGUGACAUCACCAGAGACGGCCCCGCCCACCUCAGGACCUCGCCAUUGAUCAUGAUGAUUUUAAUGAUGACAGCGAGCGGAACUAAGACUGUAAAAUCAGAAUGUUUAGAUGCUUUCUAAUUAUUAAUGAAUACUGAGAGCCUCUUUCUGUGUUUUGUCUGUUUUGGGUUUUUUUUACCUCAUUUGUUACUAACAAAGUUCACCAAACUCACACAGUUUACAUUCUGUAUGUUUCCAUCUUUACCAGCCACAGUCUACCCGCAAUUAAGAAAAUAAUCCUUAGAAAUUGUCGUUUUUCUCUUUGUAAUUUUGUAAUUCAGUGAAUAUACUGCGCUGCUUCCUU